rnacentral:rRNA from 1 species
CGUGUCGUAGCUAACGCGAUAAGUAUUCCGCCUGGGGAGUAUGGUCGCAAGAUUGAAACUCAAAGGAAUUGACGGGGACCCGCACAAGCGGUGGAGCAUGUGGUUUAAUUCGACGCAACGCGAAGAACCUUACCUGAGUUCAAGAUACGAUGAAGCGCCGGAAUCGGCGUGGCCGCAAGGAGUCGUAUCAGGUGCUGCAUGGCUGUCGUCAGCUCGUGUCGUGAGAUGCUGGGUUAAGUCCCGCAACGAGCGCAACCCUUGUCACCAGUUGCUAGCAGUUCGGCUGAGUACUUUGGUGAGACCGCUGAUGAUGAAUCAGAGGAAGGUGGGGAUGACGUCAAGUCCUCAUGGCCCUUACGCUCAGGGCUACACACGUGCUACAAUGGUGAAUACAAAGAGAUGCAAACCCGCGAGGGGGAGCGAACCUCAUAAAUUUCACCUCAGUUCGGAUUGCAGUCUGCAACUCGACUGCAUGA